rnacentral:lncRNA from 1 species
UAACUAAUUCAUUGAUUUCAUUAUGUGAUUCAAAGGAGUUAAACCCCCUAAUAUUCCAAAUCAAGAAAGCCAUUAUGAAGUUUCAGAUAAGAGAUCACCUGUCCUUCAGUGCGGCUUCUUCCGCACCUACUUUGGAGCUUAAGUCCCCUCCAUGGGUAUAAUAUUUUUUCUUCCGUACUACUUCGUGAGCCCUCUUUACCUGAUACUUUGAUCCAGUCUUGGUUUUCUACAGACCUUAUCUCCGGGAGCCCCAUCAUUUCCUGAACAGGAG